ensembl:snoRNA
CUGAUGUAGUGAUGAUUUCAUAGUUCAACGGAUCACCAUGAAGAAGAAACUUGUCUUGUCUUUCGCUCCUAUCUGAAGCAUCAG